UACGUAGGGUGCAAGCGUUAAUCGGAAUUACUGGGCGUAAAGCGUGCGCAGGCGGUUGUGCAAGACAGAUGUGAAAUCCCCGGGCUCAACCUGGGAAUUGCAUUUGUGACUGCACGGCUAGAGUGUGUCAGAGGGGGGUAGAAUUCCACGUGUAGCAGUGAAAUGCGUAGAGAUGUGGAGGAAUACCGAUGGCGAAGGCAGCCCCCCUGGGAUAACACUGACGCUCAUGCUACGAAAGCGUGGGGAGCAAACAGG
rnacentral:rRNA from 1 species